GCUGGUUCUCUAGGGAGCAUGUGCACACCUUGUCAUCUUUAUAUCUCCACCUGUGCACUUUUUGUAGGCCUUUUUAGGUCUAUGUUGCUUCACUUGCCCCAAUGUAUGUCUAUAGAAUGUUGUGCCUAUAUAAUAUAUACAACUUUCAGCAACGGAUCUCUUGGCUCUCGCAUCGAUGAAGAACGCAGCGAAAUGCGAUAAGUAAUGUGAAUUGCAGAAUUCAGUGAAUCAUCGAAUCUUUGAACGCACCUUGCGCUCCUUGGUAUUCCGAGGAGCAUGCCUGUUUGAGUGUCAUUAAUAUAUAUAUAUCAAACUUCUCUUGUUGAGUUGUUUGGAUGUGGGGGUUUGCUGGCCUCUUAAAGGGGUUCAGCUCUCCUGAAAUGCAUUAGCGGAACAGCCUUGUUCAUUGGUGUGAUAACUAUCUACGCUGUUGAAUGUGAAAGGGCAGUUCAGCUUUCUAACAGUCCUUGGACAGAUCCAUCAUUAAUGUGACCUCAAAUCAGGUAGGACUACCCGCUGAACUUAAGCAUAUCAAUAAGCGGAGGAAAAGAAACUAACAAGGAUUCCCCUAGUAACUGCGAGUGAAGCGGGAAAAGCUCAAAUUUAAAAUCUGGCGGUCUUUUGGCUGUCCGAGUUG
rnacentral:rRNA from 1 species